GCUUCAGUUUCCUCCUUUAUAAAAUAGGAGUUAUAAAAUGAGAAUUAGAUGUGGUAUAUAUUACGUACAUGUAUCACUUUAAACACUAAGCCUCAGUUUGCUCAUCUGUACAAUGGGGAUUAUUAUCUCCACUCUCUCUAUCUGAUUUGAUCCUCACAGUUGUAGGAGGUGAAGUAAGUGAAGCUUCUUUGUGGGGCACUUUCCUUCAUGAUAAUGCCCAUCAUUAGUAGCCUCUAAUCAUGGUGUAGGGAAAGAACACAGGCUCUGUGUUCCAGAAAUCCUGAAUUCAAAUCCUAGUGAUAGAACUUACUAAUCAUGGAGGAAGUUAGCUAAUUCCAGAAUGUCUUUGAUCUUUAGUUUCCUCCUCUGUAAAUGGAAUCCUUCCUGGAAGAGUACCUGGAACAUGGCAGCACCUUUUCAGUCACCGUUUUGUGCCACUUAGGUGUUCGUGCUUUCCAGUAAUUGAGAGAAUGGAAGAGACAUAUGAGUGAGUUUUCCCUAUGGGACAGCAUAGCAAUUUCUCAUCCUACAGUUUACAAUUAGCGAAUGGCUUUACUUUAACAAAAUGACAGAAAAUGAGAGGGAAAGUAGUGUUUGAAUCCUUACACGCCUGUUCCCUCUGAUGUCGCAAUGUUGUCAAGAACUAUCUUUAUUUCCUGAUUGUCCCAGAGAAGAGAAACAUAAAAGCCUUAUUUAUGGUUACAAUUCUCAUUCCAGAGAGGAACAGUGGGUUCUUUCUCCAGUAGUUCUGUCCUUACUGGGGAGGAGCCCAGGGACAUAUUUCACAACUAAGUCAACUGCUUUUCUUCAAAUUCAGAUUUAAUCCUUGAGCAAAAUGAGUCACUAGCUCAUCCAAUUAAUAUCAUCACCCACUUUCCUAACAAAACUUCUCUUCAAAGAAGGACUCGUUCAUCCAUCAGAUGUGCCUGAAGCAGGCUGUAAGAAGACUUUGUUUCUUCCAUGACUCUGUGGAACAGAUCCCUAGGAACUAAAACCCAAAGUGAAAACAAGUAACAUAUCAAGCACUCAACAGCUCCUGACACGUCAAUUUGCCUCUUGUCUGGCCCUCCAUGUGGUGUGAAUGACAGCCCCUGCAAGUGGCAGAGUGAGGGGGACCUUCAAUACAUAUUGGUUGACUGAAGAAUGGAAAAGGUGAGCAAAGGUCACCUGUCUUGCCUCCUCCUUCAAGAUACGACUUUCCAUUCCAUGGAGUCACUCUGGCUAAUUCUUUGGUUUUGUCGUUUCCUUAAGAAUCUCUCCAAAAUAUUUAGGCUGAAAGUGCUUUGAGGUCCCAAGUUUAUAGCACACACUGAGACCUUUUUUAAAAAAUGUACUUUCAUCUUAGUUUUUAUAUUAAAAAAUCUUCUAAUCCCAUAACCCACCACCUAGAUGCAGCAUGUUUAUUGAGGUUGUUUGCUGUGCUUUACAUGUGCUUGUUAAGAUUGCAGUGAAAUGGCUGUAAGUGGUGGCUGCUUGUCUUGUAGAGGAAGAGCAUUCCUCUGGCCUCAUCAGUGGGGGCCACAGAUUUUGUCAUUUUAAUAAUAAUCUCAAUGAUAUCAUUUUAAUAAUUUUAUCGUUGCAAAUAAUGAUUUUAUUCACCCUGCCUUGGGCCCUCCAUGACCUGGCCCUUGCCUCCAGUGGUCCCUGCCUCCAUGACUGGGUUUCUGCCUCACUGACACUACCUGGUGCUCUGGCACAACAGGUAGCGUCUUCACCACCCCCUCCCCAUUCAAAGUCACCAUGGCCCCCUUUGCCUGUAGAUUGAGGUGAGGUCUGAGAUCCUCCACAGUGUUCUUGGCACUUCUGCCACACCGGGCCCAACCCCUUACCAGUGCUCCCUCCCUCUUGCACGCUAAGAAACCUUUGCUCCAGCCAGACAUGUCUCCUCAUUAUCCUUCCAAUAUCUGUAUCUGCAGCUUUCUCCCUUAGAAACCUCCUUAUUUCCACAGCUUCAACUCCCUGACCCCACCCUAUUCUUUGUUUCCAGACCUCAGCUACAGCUCUAAUUUCAAACUGCCUAUUAGCAUCUCUUUCUGUGAGCCCUGCCAGAAACUCAAACUCAACAUGGCUAGAGCAUGCCUUUAUUUUCUUUCCCCAAAUUGUCUUCCUCUCUCCUCUCCACAUUUCUGUCAGGGGGUCCCACGAUUCUCCCUGACAGCCAAGUUGGAAAUCUCAGAGUCUGAUUAGCUUUUCCUUUUCUUUUGCCAUCGCAUCUAGUGAGUUACCACAUUCUAUCAGUUCAUUCUAAUGAUAGCUAUUGGUAUUGUAUUAGUCCAUUUUCAUACUGCUGUGAAGAAUUAUCUGAGACUGGAUAAUUUAUAAAGAAAAAGAAGUUUAAUCUACUCACAGUUCCACAUGACUAGGGAGGCCUGACAUCCAGGCAGAAGUGAAGGAGGAGCAAAGGCAUGUCUUACAUGGCAGCAGGCAAGAGAGCAUAUGCAGGGGAGCAAAGGUCACCUGUCUUGCCUUUUAUAAAACCAUCAGAUCUCUUGAGACUUAUUCACUAUCAUGAGAAUAGCAUGGGGAAAAACCCAUCCCCAUGAUUUAAUAACGUCCCACCAGGUCCCUCCCACAAUAUGUGGGGAUUAUAGGAGCUACAAUUCAAGAUGAGGUUUGGGUGGGAACACAGCCAAACCAUAUCAGGUAUUGACUUAUUAUAGACCCACUAUGUGUCAGGUGGCUUUAAUUUUAUAGUAAGUCCUCACUUAAUGUCAUUCAUAGUUUCUUAGAAACUGUGACUGUGAAACAAAGUAUAACAAAAUGAAUUAUUUUUCUUAUCAAGCUUGUAAGGAAAGAAAGAUGAAUGUGAGACAUUAUUCAAGGACUGGCUGUGCACUGCUUUUGCUUAAAGGCAUAGCUUCUAAGAACCCAUCGAUGACAUUGAGGAUUUAGUGCAUUGGUUCACAAUCUUCAAAGUUGUAAGCCUGUAUAUUGCUUAGGGUACAAGUGAAGCUGGGGUAAUACAGGGACCCAGGUAUUCAGCGGCCUAAAUUAAGCAGGUGUUUAUUCUUCUCUUCUCUAAUAGUCCAGAGGCAAUUGUUCAGGGAGAGCAGGACUCUUGUCCUUUUAGGGCAGCUAGGAACCCAGGAUAGUAGGUCAGUCUGUUGUCUGCAUUGUGUCUUUUUGAAACCACUCCAGUUGUUUCUAUUUCCCAGCCUGCAGAAAUAAUUAGGCAAGGAAAUUAACAAGUAGCCAAGCCUAUCUUUGGGAGUGACCUGAAAGUCGCAUACAUCACUUUGACAUUGUGUUACCCUGGUCUGAACUUAGUCUCAUGACCACAUCUAGCUUCAAGCAAAGCUGGAAAAUGUAGCCUCUAGCUGGUGGCCAUGUGCACCCAAAUGGUGAUAGGGAUUCUGUUAUAAAAGGGAAGAAAAGGAGAAUGAAUAUUGGUGGGUAUUUUUGUCUUCACUUUAAAGAUGAGGAAAUCGAGGCUUAGAGAAUUUAAGUGACUUGUCCCAAGGUCCCAGACCUUGUUAGAACUAGCAUGCAGCCUCACUUCAAGAUUUUCUAUUGGCCUACAGGGUCUCCUUAUAAAUAGCAUAGGUAUGACCAGUAAUAAGUGAUAUCAGAACUCAGAGAGAAAGUUUACCAUAAGUCCAAGCUAUCUAGGUAGAUUUUACUACAGAAGGAGAGGAAGGAUAGGGUUCAGCUAGGUAUAAAAGAGGAGAAAGAAAUGUGGCUAUUUAUUCUCAGCAGGUGGGUCCCUUCACCUCAAAUUAGCAAACACUCCUCAGGUGCCUGGUCUGUGAAAGGUCAUGUGUAAGAGAGGAUACAAUGAUAAAAUAUGAGCAGGAUCCUGCUUGAAACCCUUCAGCGUCCGAUCCAAGAUGGCUGAUUAUUAAGAUCUUGGGAUUGCAGCUCCCAGUGAAAGCACAGAGAAUGAGAGGAUGCCACACUUUCAGACAAAUUUUUGUCGCUCACGGACCAGAAUAUUCCCAGUGGAGGAGCCCCAGGGAUCGCCAGCACGACUCUUGUGGCUGGCGCAGUGGUUUUGCCGGCACCUUGGUGCAGCAGCUCUUGGUGCAGAGUAAACAGGACUGGUUCCCCUUCUGACCUACGUUUGGAGCUCCAGGAAGGCAGAGUCGCCUAUUACGGACUCAAGAAGGAAGCCAGACUGGAGAUUCCUGGGCAGAAAAGCACCAUCAGUCUUAACACCGCUAUUUUGGCCGGCGCAGUGGGUUGCUCAGAUUUCGGCCCUGGGAAUUAACAACUUGGAUGUCCACUCAGAGACCUGAUUUGAAAGUUGGUAAUUACAAAGAUGACAGGUGAAUAAAUUUACAAUAAUGGGAAGAAACCAGCGUAAAAAGGCUGAGAAUACUCAAAAUCAGAAUGCCUCUCUAAAGAGGAUCACAGUUCCUCAUCAACAAGGGAACAAGGCUUGAUAGAGAAUGAGUGCAUUCCAUUAACAGAAUCAGGCUUCAGAAGGUGGAUAAUAAGAAACUUCUGUGAGUUAAAAGAACAUGUUGUAGCCCAAUGUAAAGAAACUAAGAACUUUGAAAAACAGGUUUGAUGAAAUCCUAAUGAGAAUAGAUAAUUUAGAGAGGAAUAUAAGCGAAUUAAUGGAACUGAAGAAUACAAUAUGGGAACUCCAAGAAGUAUGCACAGGUUUAAACACUCGAAUUGUUCAAGCAGAAGAAAGGAUAUCAGAGCUGGAAGACCAAUUUAAUGAAAUAAAACAAGACAAGAAUAGAGAAAAAAGGAUAAAAAGGAAUGAGCAAAGUCUCCAAGAAAUAUGGGACUAUGUGAAAAGACCUAACUUACGUUUGAUAGGUGUACCUGAAUGCGACUGAGAGAAUGAAUCCAAGCUGGAAAAUACUCUUCAGGAUAUUAUUCAGGAAAACUUCCCCAACCUGGCAAAGCAGGACAGUAUUCAACCCCAGGUAAUACAGAGAACACCACAAAGAUAUUCUUCAAGAAGAGCAACCCCAAGGCACAUAAUCGUUAGAUUCACCAGGGUUGAAAUGAAGGAGAAAAUACUAAGGGCAGCGAGAGAGAAAGGUCAGGUUACCCACAAAGGGAAGCCUAUCAGACUUAUAGCAGAUCUCUCAGCAGAAACUCUACAAGCCAGAAGAGAGUGGGGCCAAUAUUCAACGUCCUUAAAGAACAGAACUUUCAGCCCAGAGUUUCAUAUCCAGCCAAACUAAGCUUCACAACUGAAGGAAAAAUAAAAUCUUUUAUGAACAAGCAAGUACUCAGAGAUUUUAUUACCACCAGGACUGCUUUACAAGAGAUUCUGAAAGAAGCAUUACACAUAGAAAGAAACAACCAGUAUUAGCCUUUCUAAAAAUAUACCAAAAAGUAAAGAGCAUCAACAUAAAGAAGAAUUUACAUCAAUGAAUGGAUAAAACAGCCAGUUAACAUCAAAUGGCAGUAACCCUAAAUUUAAAUCGACUAAAUUCCCCAAUCAAAAGAUACAGCCAAAACUUAACAGUAUGCUACAUCCAGACCCAUUUCACAUGCAAAGAUACACAAAGACUCAAAACAAAGGGAUGGAGAAAGAUUUACCAACUAAAUGGAGAGCAAAAAGAAAGAAAGAAAGAAAUAAAAAGCAGGAGUUGCAAUUCUCGCAUCUGAUAAAAUAGAUUUUAAAGCAACAAAGAUAUAGUGGUAAAAGGAUCGAUGCAACAAUAAGAGCUAAGGAUCCUAACACCCAGAUACAUAAGACCUAUAAAGAGAUUUAGAAUCAACAAGACAGAAAAUUAAUAAGGAUAUCCAGGACUUGAAGUCAGAUCUGGAACAAGUAAACUUAAUAAAUAUUUAUAGAGCUCUCUACUUUAAAUAUACAAAAUACACAUUCUUGUCAAUACCACAUCACACCUACUCAUAGGUUUAAAUAAAAUAUUGAUCAGCCAUUAUUAAUACCCAUUUUUAGAAUAAAGCAACAUUUCCAUUCUCUCUCUCUUUUUCUUCCUCUUUCUUCCUCUCCUUCACUCCUUUUUUUUCUUUCCUUCUCUCCUUUAAAAAAAAAAAAAAAGAAACCCUUCAGUGUCCACAAUAUCUUCAGACUGUAACCCAAGUGUCUUCACUCUGCUGUGGGAUCUCCAUGACCUGGCCUUUGCCUCUUUUGGUCCCUGCCUCCAUGACCUAGGCUCUGCCUCUCUCCAGACUUUUCUCUCUCUGUGUUCCUUCUCUUUCACUGACUUGCUGUGGUUGGCCUGGGUACCUCUGGGCUUGGGUGCAUACCUGGAAUGGUUUUUCUCCACCACCUUCUAGGAAAUGGCUGUUUGUACUUAAUGACAACUUGGUGGUUUCUUCUCCUUGUUAGGUUAGAAGAUUCUUCUAGGUUCCCAGGGUUGCAUUCCUCUAUCAUAGUACUUAGACAAUUAUUAUGCAUGAAAUACUUGUAAGCUUGGUUUCCCUGGUAGCAUACGCACUCCAUGAAGAAGGUCCACAGCUUUCAUCUCAGUGCCUCCAGCAUAUAACAUAACAUAAGAAAAAAUACUAGUGUUCCUUAAGACUGCAAAUGCCUUGAGGGUUAGUCCAUGAUAGUUUUAUUCAUUCCUCCUUUCAUUCAAUGGACACAGACAUAACUCUCAUACUAUGCAGAUCAGACUCAAUGCUUUGGCUGGUCAUAUUAGUUUGCUAGGGUUGCUGUAAUAAAGAACCACAGACUGGGUGGCUUCAACAAUGGAAAUUUAUUUUCUCAUAAUUCUGGAGUCUGGAAGUCUGAGAGCAAGGUGUUGGCGAGGUGGUUUCUUUGGGAGUCUCUCUUAUUGGCUUGUAGAUGGCUGUCUUCUCCCUGUGUCUUCACAGAGUCUUCCAACUGUGAGUGUCUGGGUCUUAAUCUCCACUUAUAAAAUCACCAGACAGAUGGGAUUAAAACCCAUUUAAUGACCUCAUUUACCUUAAUUACUUUUUUUUUUUUGAGUUGGAGUUUCGCUCUUGUCCAGGCUGGAGUACAAUGGGGUGAUCUCUGCUCACUGCAACCUCUGCCUACUGGGUUCAAGCAAUUCUCCUGCCUCAGCCUCCCAAGUAGCUGGGAUUACCGACAUGCACCACCACACCCAGCCAAUUUUGUAUUUUUAGUAGAGAUGGGAUUUCUACAUGUUGGUCAGGCUUGUCUCAAACUCCCAACCUCAGGUGAUCUGCCUGCCUUGGCCUCUCAAAGUGCUGGGAUUAGGCCUGAGCCACUGUGCCCGGCACCCUUAGUUGCCUCUUUAAAGAAUCUAUCUCCAAAUAUAAUCACAUUCUGAGAUCCUGGUGGUUAGGUAUUCAACAUACGAAUUAUGGAAGAACACUAUUCAGUCAUAAUAUUGGCAUACAUUGUGUAGGGCAGAGAAGAGGGAAGGCUAGAAUAUGACCACGAAGGGUAAGGGAAGGUUCUUGGGGAUGUUUGCAGAAGUCCUCAGGACUGUGAGUUCCUCAAGAGAACAACUGUGGCUCAUUCCUCUCUGUAUUCCUCGUGCCUAAAGCAGAGUGUGGUUUGCAGAAGAUGCUCAUAAGAUAGCCCCAAAUAAACAAAGAAACCAAUGAAUGAAGCAGCAUUUGGUCUAACAAUGCUGCUAUUUGGCUGGCAUAACUGCUAGCAGGAUUACAGCUCUGUUUUAUUUGGGCUUUCUUCUUUCCUUCAGGGUCAGAGAGCAAGGCUCCACGUUUCUCAUUUGCCUCCAACAAUGGCCAUCAGGAUCAAAACUUUCCAACCCAAUUAAACAUUUGGGUGGUUGGGACCCACCCAAGGAAAACAAGCAUGUGCUCAAUCAAAUCUUUUAUUUGGAAAAUGUUUUUCAGCUGAGAGACCUGGGCCCCUUGUCAUGCCUGGCUCUUAGAUCCUGUUGUUAUAAGCCAGAGUGGAAAUUUAGGAAAAAAGAACAACUUAGAUUUAAGCAUGAUAAUCCCUCAAAGCUGUUAACUUCUUUACAGUUUUUACAGAAGGCUUUCACUUACGUGAUCUGCUUUGACCCUCACAACAACUCUGUGAAGUGGGUAACAGAAAGAAAAUGGGGUCGGAGGACCAGAUUUAGUUUCUGAUCCCCACUGUGCUACUUCCUGGUGGUGACCACUUGGGCACAUUGAUUUCCUUAAGAUCUGAUUUUCUUAUUUGUGCAGUGGCGACAAUAAUAUCAAUGUCUCUGCGUUGUUUUGAAGAUUAGUUGAUACCAGGUUUCAGAAAAAGCCUGCCAUGUUCUGGCCACUCAAAAAAUAGAGUAAAAGCUUAAACCAAGAAUUUGAAUCCUCAUCUUCCCUCACUCUCCCUUUUCCUUUGUAAAAUGAAAAGAAUAUAGUAACUACUUCAUAGAAUUGAGGCAAUUAAAUGAACAACACAUGUGCAUGCUAAGUGCUCAGGAAAGGUUAGUAGUCCCAGUUACGCGUUUCAAACUCAUAGCUUAAAUAAUCAUUCACUUACUAGCUUCCUUCUGUCUGUUUUGAACUUUAACCUUUGAUUUUGAAAAAAAUCUUGUCACUUUUUUUCAAAGUUGCAUGAUGCAUGGAAACCACAUCAGACUAGUCAUUAAAAGCCUGGGCUUGGGUGUUUUCUGACACUUUCUUGCUGUGAGACCUUAGGUAGGUCACUGAUCACUGCAGUAAGCAGAUUGGACCAGAUGAACACUCCCUACAACCCCCAAGAAUCGGUAUGGUUAGUCCACAAAUCUUUUGCCCAAGUCCAGAAAGAAUCCUUAGCACCUAAAGGGAAAAAUUAAUUGAAAUUUUUCUGAUUUACGUGUACUUAACCAAAUAAAACCCUACUUUCUAAGAGUCCUUUGAUGUUUAAGCUGCCUUAAGGAGUCUUUUUUUGUUUUAAGGGGCAUUUUAAAGCUUUUCUUCUUAGAAACAGGAAAUCAGAGUUUGGCAUGGGAAAAGAAAU